rnacentral:rRNA from 1 species
UACGUAGGGGGCAAGCGUUAUCCGGAUUUACUGGGUGUAAAGGGAGCGUAGACGGUUAUGUAAGUCUGAUGUGAAAACCCGGGGCUCAACCCCGGGACUGCAUUGGAAACUAUGUAACUAGAGUGUCGGAGAGGUAAGUGGGAUUCCUAGUGUAGCGGUGAAAUGCGUAGAUAUUAGGAGGAACACCAGUGGCGAAGGCGGCUUACUGGACGAUCACUGACGUUGAGGCUCGAAAGCGUUGGGAGCAAACAGGAUUAGAUACCCUGGUAGUCCACGCCGUAAACGAUGAAUGCUAGGUGUCGGGUGGCAAAGCCAUUCGGUGCCGCAGCAAACGCAAUAAGUAUUCCACCUGGGGAGUACGGCCGCAAGGUUAAA